GAAAAAAUUGAAUUUAAUCUGCAAAAACUAUGCUCGAAAGUAAAACCAAAUCCACGUGACCAAAAUGUAGGAUAACUAACCUGAUCUACACAGCGAUUGAUGUUAGGGUUAGGGUUACACGCACAAUUUUGGACAAGUUAGGGUUAGGAUCACGUGGCGGG